rnacentral:rRNA from 1 species
AGGAUGAACGCUGGCGGCGUGCUUAACACAUGCAAGUCGAACGAUGAAGGCUGGAGCUUGCUCUGGCUGGAUUAGUGGCGAACGGGUGAGUAACACGUGAGUAACCUGCCCCAGACUCUGGGAUAAGCGCUGGAAACGGCGUCUAAUACCGGAUACGAGCUUCCACCGCAUGGUGAGGAGCUGGAAAGAAUUUCGGUCUGGGAUGGACUCGCGGCCUAUCAGCUUGUUGGUGAGGUAAUGGCUCACCAAGGCGACGACGGGUA